rnacentral:tRNA from 1 species
AAUAAAGUGCCUGAUUAAAGGAUUAAAUUGUAAAUUUAAGCAUGUGACCAGCGACUUCACCUUUAUUA